AGAAAAAAAAGUGUGGAGAAAGAAGAAAAACCGAAAAAGGAACGAAUGCAAGAUUACGGGAAAAAAAAAAUAAUUGUGUUCUUCGGGUUGGUGGUUGCUUUUUCUUUUUCUUUUCUUUUUUGUCCACCCUUCAUCUUCGUU
rnacentral:RNase_P_RNA from 12 species